GGAAGCAGCAGUGAGGAAUUUUUCACAAUGGACGAAAGUCUGAUGGAGCAAUACCACGUGAACGAUGAAGGUCUUCUGAUUGUAAAGUUCUUUUAUUUAGGAAAAAAAGCGCGCUAGGAAAUGAGCGCGCCUUGAUGGUACUAAUUGAAUAAGUGACAGCUAACUAUGUGCCAGCAGGUGCGGUAAAACAUAGGUCACAAGCAUUAUCCGGAUUUAUUGGGCGUAAAGGAAGCGUAGGCGGGGAGGCUGAUCCAUUGUUAAAGGCAUUUGCUCAACAAAUGUGUGCGAUGGAGAUCUCCUCCCUAGAGUUAAUCAGGGGGUACUGGAAUUCAAUGUGUAGCGGUGGAAUGCGUAGAUAUAUUGAGGAACACCAGAGGCUAAGGCGAGUACCUGGGAUAUAACUGACGCUG
rnacentral:rRNA from 1 species